AUGGGAGAUCUGGAGAACAGGAUCAUUGCCUUGCUGUUGGCCAUCUCCGCAGGUGUCCAAUGCCAGGACCGAGUGGAUCAGAAGCCUGUGAAAGUCACCAAAGAAGGAGAGGGCUCCACCAUCACCUAUCAGUUCACAUCCAAUGAUGUCUAUAGCAUGCACUGGUACAGGCAAUAUCCAAGAGGAGCACCUGAGCUUUUCCUAACAGUUACAUUGGGGAGCCCAAAGAAGCACGAACACGUCAGUGCCUCUUUUGACAGGCAGAAGAAGGAGAGUCAUUUAAACAUCGUAAAAGUGAAGAUGAAAGAUGCCGUAGUCUAUUUAUGUGGGGCUGGAGAUCCACAGCAACACAAAGACACCUGUUACCUGUACAAAACUCUCUUAAGACGGAGCAGUUCUGUGAAGGGGAAAUGA